rnacentral:rRNA from 1 species
CAAGGUUUCCGUAGGUGAACCUGCGGAAGGAUCAUUACUGAACUGCUGACAUGAGUUGUUGCUGGUCUCCAAAUGGGGGCAUGUGCACNCUCUGUUUGUGCAUCCACUCACACCUGUGCACCUUCUGUAGUUCUGUGGCUUGGGGGACUUGUCCUCCUGCUGUGGUUCUGCAUCUUUACACUCACACUGUGAUNAAGUCUAAUGGAAUGCAUGCCGCGUUUAACGCAAUACAAUACAACUUUCAGCAACGGAUCUCUUGGCUCUCGCAUCGAUGAAGAACGCAGCGAAAUGCGAUAAGUAAUGUGAAUUGCAGAAUUCAGUGAAUCAUCGAAUCUUUGAACGCACCUUGCGCCCUUUGGCUAUUCCGAAGGGCAUGCCUGUUUGAGUAUCAUGAACAUCUCAACUCCUCACRGUUAGCCCGUGAUGAGCUUGGACUUUGGGGGUCUUGCUGGCCUGCAGGUCGGCUCCUCUCAAAUGAAUCAGCUUGCCAGUGUUUGGUGGCGUCACAGGUGUGAUAACUAUCUACGCUUGUGGUUUUCUGCCAGGCAACCUCCAGCAAUGGGGGCUCACUGGAGCUCACAAAUGUCUCUCCUCGGUGAGGACAGCUCUUUGAACAUUUGAUCUCAAAUCAGGUAGGACUACCCGCUGAACUUAAGCAUAUCAAUAAGCGGAGGAAAAGAAACUAACAAGGAUUCCCCUAGUA